rfam:Pan troglodytes isolate Yerkes chimp pedigree #C0471 (Clint) chromosome X, whole genome shotgun sequence.
GCCGGGCAUGGUGGCGAAUGCCUGUAAUCCUAGCUCGGGAGGCUGAGGCAGGAGAAUUGCUUGAACCCAGGAAGCGGAGAUUGCAGUGAGCCGAGAUCGCACCACUGCACUCCAGCCUGGGCAAUAGAGCAAGCCUCUGUCUCAA